UCUGGAGUAUGUUACACUCGUGCAAAGCUCUUUCCCUCUGUUUAUUUUCUGUUCUGGAAAGCACAGUCUGGACUUCCUGGGCACUUCCUAUUAAGUGAUACCAUGAAAAAACUAUUGUACUGAAAGGGGAAAGGAGCUGUCUGUUUGAGAUCAGAUGUACCUGAUAAAAGCUUUAUGUUUUUUCACUCAGUAAGCUCUUAAAAGAUCUUACAGCAUGCAGGAAUGCCUGGCUUCUAAAACUCACCAGUUGAGCGUUAGAGGCUUCUUUGAAGAGCUGAGUUGAGGCAGCAGAAUUGGCCCCCAGGAGGGACUCUGUGCCUGCUCUCCCGUGGCUCCAAGGGAUCUCUGGCCCUUCACGCCGGCACCGAGAUUUUCUCGGGAAGGGCCUCAGAUUCCCGGACCAGUCUGGGACACAGGCAAGAUCCCCCUGCCUUUAGAAAUGAGGCCUUCUUGUGGCUUCCUCCCCGUACCCGUUGGUGGGUUCCAAAGAAGGACUCUUGAAAUGCCUUUUGGGCUGUCCGUUGAAGCCUUGGGACCAAAUUGGCCCCCUGGAGGGACAGUGCUGUUGGUGCCCCCCGGGUUGGGGCACCCCGAGGACUCCAGCGCGCACCAAAAGGAUUAUUCGGGGAGAUCCUCGGGGUGCCCGGCCCUGGGGAGCUCAAAGCAAGGUCCCUGCAAUGGAUUCAGGCAUUGCUGAGAGUAUCCCAGGGGUACCUGUCCCUGCUAGACAUGGAGCUCUCUAAUGGACUGUAAUUGGGUUCUAAAAGUGGUGCUCCAAGUCCAAAGGAAGUGUGGGAUUGGGAUUAAUAAAUGAGCAGUGAUGGUCCAAUUGGCUGUUUUCUCUGGAAUGUAAUGGUAAGAGCUGCAGGAGUGCCAGGUGUGUGUUCCAGUCCCCACCAUUUGGUUUGCACAUGUCCUGGUCAGACACAGGUCCAACUUCCUCAGUCCUUAACAUAAUAGAGGGAGAAUUAAGGGCUGGCAGUGUUAAGGUGAUUGGUGUGACAGGGGUUAAACUGGGAAAACAUUGGGGAAUUCCUCAUUUGGUCUAUUUGCCCAACUUGCCCAAACCUCUGCUCAGAUGUGGUUGAUGGAAAAGUUGAGGCAGAAAUUAAAUUGGAAAGUGAGGAUAUUGAAACUGUAAUGACUGAAACUAAAUGUGUCCAAGCAGCAGCUCUUCCUGUGCAGGGAAUAACUCCUGUCAGCAGCAAGGUCCUGACUGAAGUGGCAGCUGCAGUUGUUCCUGUGGUGUGGGCCAGUGGAAUUGCAGGAGAGUGGAAGAGGGCAGAACCUGUAGGACGUGAAUGCAAGAACCUGCCAAGAAAACCAAUGGCCAAGGUGAUUGAUGAGUGCAGGACCUGAGAGAAGCACCUUGAAUGACAACCUGGAGUAGUUCCCAGUAUUGGAUUGCAAAGAUGGCCUUUGCUGCAUCUGCUUGAGCAAGGAAAGCCAAGAAACCUUUGCUUUGGAAGGAGAAAAUCUGGAAAGCGAGAAGGAAGCAAAGCAGCUCCCUGACUCCUCCCUGAGCCCCAGACAGCCCAUGAACUGCCUUGCUGGGAAUGGUAGGAUGGGGUGGACUCUGGAUUGCUCCCUCUGUAUGUGUGUGGGAUGUAGCCUGGAAAGUGCACAGAGCUGAGCCAAAGGAUUGAAAGGGACCAAGCAAGGGAGGUGAAGAAAGAAGGAAGAAGGGAAGUGAGGCAGCAGGCAAGCAGCAGCAAGUUGCUGUGUAAGCAGUGGGAUGUACCCUAGAAACUCCAUGGAGCUGAGCCAAGGGAUUUAGAGGGACUAAGCAAGCGAAGUUAAAGAAAGAAUGAAGAAGGGAACUGAGAGAGCAGCCAAGCAGCACCAAGUUCGUCUACAACCAGGGAAUAACUCCUGUCAGCAGCAAGGUCCCGACUGAAGUGGCAGCUGCAGUUGUUCCUGUCCUGUGGGCCAGUGGAAUUGCAGGAGAGUGGAAGAGGGCAGAACCUAAUGUGAAUGCAAGAACCUGCCAAGAAAACCAAUGGCCAAGGUGAUUGAUGAGUGCAGGACCUGAGAGAAGCACCUUGAAUGACAACCUCGAGCAGUUUCCAGUAUUGGAUUGAAAAGAUGGCCUUUGCUGCAUCUCCUUGAGCAAGGAAAGCCAAGAAACCUUUGCUUUGGAAGGAGAAAAUCUGGAAAGUGAGAAGGAAGCAAAGCAGCCCCCUGACUCCUCCCUGAGCCCCAGACAGCCCAUGAACUGCCUUGCUGGGAAUGGUAGGAUGGGGUGGACUCUAGAUAGCUCCCUCUGGAUGUGUGGUGAGACUGUUAUGCCAACUUUUAAGGACAACCUGUAAGAAUUUGUUGCCAGUAUAAUAGCUGGUGCAACGGCAGCCUUUAAGCAGCUGAAGCAUUCCCUGAGGAGAGCUCUGGGUCUGCCAGAUGUGUCAGAACUGUUGGAAGCAUCUUUGGUGGGGAGGGCAAAGAAAGGACAAGGUGUGCAGUGACCCCCCUGAGAAGGGACUUUGAGUUAAUGGUAUCCCUGCAAGUGAACUUUGUGGGCUGUUCCCCCUGUAGGGUAGGUGAUAGUCCCAGCUACAGUGAUGGGAAAAAUAGUUAAAAGGGAGCCCCAAAAGCUGGAAAUCCUCCUGGAGGCUUUUGGCCAACAGAGUUUCCUGAGUUCCCCCUGCAAGGACAGUGAUAGCUUUUGAGUGCUGGUAGAUCCUUUGAAUAGAUAGCCUUGAGUGUGUCCUUGUUGCACCAGUAGGCCUUGUCAAACUCCUCAUAUUCCAGGAGAUAUACAUAUUGAAUUUUAA